UACGUAGGGGGCAAGCGUUGUCCGGAAUCAUUGGGCGUAAAGCGCGUGUAGGCGGCUUGGUAAGUCUGCUCUGAAAGCCCGGGGCUCAACCCCGGGAGGCGGGUGGAUACUGUCAAGCUCGAGUCCGGAAGAGGAGUGUGGAAUUCCUGGUGUAGCGGUGAAAUGCGCAGAUAUCAGGAAGGAACACCAUGGCGAAGGCGCACUCUGGGACGUGACUGACGCUGAGACGCGAAAGCGUGGGGAGCAAACAGG
rnacentral:rRNA from 1 species